UUUCCCAUCUGUUCAAAGGCUGUAACAGGGACAUGGAGUGGGCCUGUGCUGGGAGCAAAAGCUUGAGCCAGGACUCACAAAACUGAGGAAAAAUCUGAGCGGUAGUGAGAGCAAACGGGUUGGUGCUUGUGGAGGGAGCAGGGAGGCAUGGUAUGAAAUAAGGUGCAGUAUCCAUUUCUGACAGGACUUUUUGGUGCCUAUAUCUGCAUCUCAGAGGAAGCAGCCAGUUACUGUUGCUCCUUGGCUCAUUUGCACAGUCUAGGGAUGAAUGGAUCUGUGGCUCUUCCAGUCCUCUUCUUCUCCAGGGUCCUUUUAAAAUCUGUGCAGUUGCUGUCCUGCCCAGUGAAACCCACUAAGUUCUGUGAGAAGGGCUGACAACCUAAGGAGAGAGAGAACAGUUCAGCCUUUCUAUUCACCAAGCAGAUUCAUUAAUGAUUAGUGCCAUUAGGUGGACUACAGUAGUGCCUGAGGGCCCCAAUUAAAGGAAAAGUGAGCUUGUUAAAUCCAGAAAGCCAGAUUCUCCCUCUGAUACUCACGCCUGAUGCAGAGGUGGUGCCUCCAGGGCGGGCAGCAGGAAUGGCCCUGGCUUUCUGUGAGAGCAGCUUCUGUGCCUUCCCUCCUCCCUCCUCCACAGCUUCCCUCUGCCCUGCCUGAGCUGCAGAUCCUGCUUGCAGGGUUCUGCAGAGCAAGGCUGUUGCAGGAGUUGGCUGGCAGGACUUGCAGGAGGAGGUGUCAAAUCAGCUUAUUCUUCUGAGCCACUUCAUUCUUCAUCACGAGUGGGUUUGGGUGGGCUUUUUUUGGUUUAGGUCUUGGGGUUUUUUUGGGCAGGGUUGAGAGCAGGCAAAGUAGUGGGGAUUGCAGAGGAGUCUGUUAUGAAAUCAGAUGCGGUUUUAGAUGUCUGAAAGAGUUUCUUUAGGCUAAAGGCAGCUGAAGAUCAAUUGCACUGUUGGCAAAUGUGCUUCCAGCUGGUUGGAGCUUCUCUUGAGGGAGAGUUUCAACCCAGGGCCCAUUGCAAUGGUAGUGCAGGAAAGGGCUUUCCUUUGCUUUGGGCUAAGGACCUUCUGCUGCCCAGUUCUACCAGUGAGAAGAGAAACUGGAGAUGAUGUGGGAGAGGCACCACAGCUCUGUUACUGCUGAUAUGAAGAAAAGAUGGAAACAGCCUCCUGAAGGUCAAGGUGAGACUGACCAACACCUGAUUGCUGGUACUCACCAGCAGUAAUAAAUCCCUGAUCACAGGUGCUGGAAGUCUCUUCAGAGAAACAACAUUGCUGCAGGGGACCAACAACUAGUCCUGACCUUCUUUACACAGCCAUUCUCUGGGAAAUGUAUCCCCUGAAGUCAAUGUGGAUUCUGCCUAGCUUUCAUCAGAAGAAAAACGCCUGGAUUGAAAUGACAGCAACAAAUAAUAGGUGCUGGUGAUUUGCACUCUCUCCACCUAAAUCAGAUAUCUGGCACAUCAGUACUUAGAAGGCUUAGGAGAAGAAGAAAACAUCAAUAUUUCAAUGAACACAAAAAGUUGCACAACUCCCCAGUUUUUAUUUUAAUGUCACCUGUGGUUAGUGGGUCAUAUUUCUUUUUUUCUGUAAGACGAGUGAUUUCCACUUCUCUUUAAAUCCCACCUGUGCAAAUAGCUUGUUUUUCUCCCUAGCAAGUGUUAACAAGGAACUGUAAGGGUUUUGUUCAGGCUCAGUAGUCAGGCAGUCCUGGGGCGUGUGACUUCUAGGAAAAGCCACAGCAGGAACAAAUGAGAGCCAGCCCACGCACCAGGCACAGCUCACAGCUUUUGCUGGUCCUCAGCUCUAUGUUCCAGCUCACACUCGUGGUAAAUGGAUCUCUGUUAGCAACUGCAACGCCGACCAGCGCCGGGAGCACAGAUCUGGACGAGCUGGGUGCUUCAUCAUGGAGCUGCCCUUAGAAACCACGGCCCAUUAUGAGGCAGCUUCACCCUCCUCAGCAGAGCCCACGGCAAUUCAGGACUUGCUCUGCUCACUUUAGUCCGUGCAAUUUCAUCCUUUGUGUGAACCAGAAUCAUGCAAAUGGGGGCACUGGAGUCAUAGGGGAGUCGAGUUCCACGCGAGGAGUGGCAUGAGAAGGAGCAGCAAUUAGCUCGGAAUUCACUCUACCAGCCUGUCAUUCCUUCACUCUCCCCUGCUGCUCUGCAACUGGAAGCCUUGUGCUCUAGAAGAAGGGGAGAAGAACAUUUUGCUCAUGCUCAUAUUAAUCAAGUCAUCGUGUGAGCUGCUGAAUCUGUGAAAUUGUAUCUCCCAUGGAGUUCGGAGGUAAUGACUGUCUUCGAUGUGGACUCUCUGGUGUCUAAUAAUACAGUAAUAUUUCUGCAGUGGAUGCACUCCCAGCAUUUCUUCUCCUCUGCCUGCCUACUUCUACAGCACUUGUAGGCAGCUCAAACCUUUGAGACUUCUAUCCCCUGUCAAGUUUGAUCAAACUCAGUUCACAGGCUCAAAAAUUAUUUAGGAGGGACCGACUGGCACUUGCACAGACAGUGUGAUCUCAUAGGCUUCCUUUCCUUGGGAAACUAGGCUACCAUCCUAGCAACGGGGUGAAAAAAAAGCCAUCCUGCUAGCAAAGAGGACCUAAACACCAGGAGGAAAGAGGGGAGGUGGGAGAGGAAAGUGAAGGUGUUUUGAAGGGAAAAAUAUUGCUGCCUUGUGGCUGCAGAGCUCUCACACGCUUAAAGGGCCAGCCUUGGAGAGACACGCUGGAGAAAAUAUUCUCCAGGAGAUGGAAAGUUCUCUCAUGAAAAUUGGUGAGGGAAAGAAAUGACCUGGAUUCAUCUCACCACCUGGCAUGCUGAAUGGAUAUCUCUAUGGUAAGGAUUGUCUCUGGUGACACUUGCUCCUCCCUGUGGACUAGAGGAAGACACAGACACAAUUAGCAUGCAACCUGUAUGCCUGCAGCAUCUAAAGUGAGGUGUGUCCUGUCCCAAAGGGAAUUCUCUUCUUCCCACUUCCUCCUUCAGACCAAAGUUUUCCAUGGUGCUGCUGCAGGGUUUGUUACUUCAUGUACUACAUUUGUAUUUUAGAAAAGCUGCUGUGUGUCUUAAUAGCUGCAGAUGUAUGCAUGGUUUUACUGGGCAUUUAUUAUCACUUAUCCUCUUUGCACUGAAACCUUUCCUGUCCUUGUAUCUUACGGAAUAAAAUUCUUUAAGUGAGCUUUAA